UGCCAGCAGCCGCGGUAAUACGGAGGGUGCAAGCGUUAAUCGGAAUUACUGGGCGUAAAGCGUGCGUAGGUGGUUUAUUAAGUCAGAUGUGAAAGCCCCGGGCUUAACCUGGGAACUGCAUUUGAAACUGGUAAACUAGAGUAUGGUAGAGGAAAGUGGAAUUUCUGGUGUAGCGGUGAAAUGCGUAGAUAUCAGAAGGAACAUCAAUGGCGAAGGCAGCUUUCUGGACCAAUACUGACACUGAGGUACGAAAGCGUGGGUAGCAAACAGGAUUAGAUA
rnacentral:rRNA from 1 species